GACGGGGGCCCGCACAAGCAGCGGAGCAUGUGGUUUAAUUCGACGCAACGCGAAGAACCUUACCAGGUCUUGACAUCCAGGUAAAGCCGUAGAGAUACGGUGUGUGCUUGCACAAUCUGAGACAGGUGGUGCAUGGUUGUCGUCAGCUCGUGUCGUGAGAUGUUGGGUUAAGUCCCGCAACGAGCGCAACCCUUAUUUUCAGUUACUAACGCGUAAAGGUGAGGACUCUGAAGAGACUGCCGGGGACAACUCGGAGGAAGGUGGGGACGACGUCAAAUCAUCAUGCCCCUUAUGACCUGGGCUACACACGUGCUACAAUGGCCACCACAGAGAGGAGCGAACCCGUAAGGGGGAGCGGAUCUCAAAAAAGUGGUCCCAGUUCGGAUUGUGGGCUGCAACCCGCCCACAUGAAGUCGGAGUUGCUAGUAAUCGCGGAUCAGCAUGCCGCGGUGAAUACGUUCCCGGGCCUUGUACACACCGCCCGUCACACCAUGGGAGUUGGGAGUGCCCAAAGUCGGUGAGGUAACCGCAAGGAGCCAGCCGCCUAAGGCAAGACCAAUGACUGGGGUGAAGUCGUAACAAGGUAGCCGUUCGAAA
rnacentral:rRNA from 1 species